UGAGGAAUAUUGGACAAUGGAUGGAAAUCUGAUCCAGCCAUGCCGCGUGCAGGAAGACGGCCCUAUGGGUUGUAAACUGCUUUUGUAUGGGAGCAAUAAGGACUACGUGUAGUUUGAUGAGAGUACCAUACGAAUAAGCAUCGGCUAACUCCGUGCCAGCAGCAGCGGUAAUACGGAGGAUGCGAGCGUUAUCCGGAUUUAUUGGGUUUAAAGGGUGCGUAGGCGGCGAUAUAAGUCAGUGGUGAAAUAUUUCGGCUUAACCGAGAGACUGCCAUUGAUACUGUGUUGCUAGAAUAUGGUUGCUGUGAGUGGAAUGUGUGGUGUAGCGGUGAAAUGCUUAGAUAUCACACAGAAUAUCGAUUGCGAAGGCAGCUCACAAAGCCAUUAUUGACGCUGAGGCACGAAAGUGUGGGGAUCAAACA
rnacentral:rRNA from 1 species